rnacentral:rRNA from 1 species
UACGGAGGGAGCUAGCGUUGUUCGGAAUUACUGGGCGUAAAGCGCACGUAGGCGGCUUUGUAAGUUAGAGGUGAAAGCCCGGGGCUCAACUCCGGAACUGCCUUUAAGACUGCAUCGCUUGAAUCCGGGAGAGGUGAGUGGAAUUCCGAGUGUAGAGGUGAAAUUCGUAGAUAUUCGGAAGAACACCAGUGGCGAAGGCGGCUCACUGGACCGGUAUUGACGCUGAGGUGCGAAAGCGUGGGGAGCAAACGGG